rnacentral:rRNA from 1 species
GGAGGAUGCGAGCGUUAUCCGGAUUUAUUGGGUUUAAAGGGAGCGUAGACGGGUUUUUAAGUCAGCUGUGAAAGUUUGGGGCUCAACCUUAAAAUUGCAGUUGAAACUGGAGACCUUGAGUACGGUUGAGGCAGGCGGAAUUCGUGGUGUAGCGGCGAAAUGCUUAGAUAUCACGAAGAACCCCGAUUGCGAAGGCAGCCUGCUAAGCCGCCACUGACGUUGAGGCUCGAAAGUGCGGGUAUCAAACAGGAUUAGAUACCCUGGUAGUCCGCACGGUAAACGAUGGAUACUCGCUGUUGGCGAUAGACGGUCAGCGGCCAAGCGAAAGCGUUAAGUAUCCCACCUGGGGAGUACGCCGGCAACGGUG